GGAUUUUUGGAAAGUUUUAUCCACCAGCAUAAUGGUGAACACAAAAUCCAAUUUUACAUGCGGUGACUUGUCAGUUUAUACGAGCAGAUGGUCGUGGCAGGCUUUAAUGAUAUUCUACAAAACUAGAAGCUAUCUAGACUACUUCAACAUUCAUCUGGGUAGAGACGCUUCGUCACAUCAAGCUACGAGAAAGAAUAUCAUCAUCUCACAGAAUUCUACUCGAACACCGCAUCGAAAUCAGACUUUGAAAUGCGGGCGUCAAAAACCAUGAUUGCUCUCUACUUUCUGAUUGCAUUUGCCGUGGCAGCAAGUAUUUCAUCAGUCGAGGAAGAUGAGAUCGACAGUUCUGAUGAGUUGAAUGUCAGUGAGAACACCAAGAACGAUACAGCUGACAUCCAGCUGAAGGGAUGGCCCUAUUAUACAGGAUCACAAAAGUAGC